rnacentral:rRNA from 1 species
CGCCUAAUACAUGCAAGUCGAGCGAGAAGGUGUAGCAAUACACUUGUAAAGCGGCGAACGGGUGAGGAAUACAUGGGUAAUCUACCAUCGAGUGGGGAAUAACCAGCCGAAAGGUUGGCUAAUACCGCGUACGCCUCCGGAUCUUCGGGUUCGGAGGGAAAGCCGCACUGUGAGUGCGGCGCUCUUUGAUGAGCUCAUGUCCUAUCAGCUUGUUGGUAGGGUAACGGCCUACCAAGGCUUUGACGGGUAGCUGGUCUGAGAGGACGAUCAGCCACACUGGCACUGCGACACGGGCCAGACUCCUACGGGAGGCAGCAGUAAGGAAUAUUGCGCAAUGGGCGAAAGCCUGACGCAGCGACGCCGCGUGGGGGAUGAAGGUCUUCGGAUUGUAAACCCC